CAGAGCGACAUCAUCAGUCACACCACCAGUCACGACGACAUGGAGAAGGGAUCAGAAAGAAUCGGCAAGAUCACAUCAGAUGAAAACCUCGCAGAUUCAGUUCACUCUCAACACUUUGCAGGCUCCGGUGCUUCCACCUACACCCUGGACAGCGGCAUCGGUACGUUCCCUCUGCCCGACUGCAGUAGCGGUGUAGCUGCACGGGGCCUGUCUAAGACGAAGGG